rnacentral:lncRNA from 1 species
AUGGUGUCAAGCAUAUGUUGAUUGAUCACUUUAAGAAGGACCAUGGAAUGAAAGUUGGAUCUACCAUGAGAUUUGCUAUUGAGGACUUGGUUUUUAAGCUUUUUGGAGAGGGACCUUCUGUGAGUAAGACUCCUACGCAUACACCUUCACCUAAUCCUUCUAUCACAGCUCCUACACACAAUAAGGUGAAAGAACAUAUACAGAGAGACAUGGAUGGCAUGGGCCUUGGAAACUGC